UAAUUGAGAGGGUACAUGGAAGUAAUCAAAUCAAGAUUUUCCCCUAAUCCACCACCCACAUCAACCACCACAUUAGCCUUCUCAAACCC